AGAGUUGAUCCUGGCUCAGGAUGAACGCUGGCGGCGUGCUAAUACAUGCAAGUCGAGCGAACCACUUCGGUGGUGAGCGGCGAACGGGUGAGUAACACGUAGGUGAUCUGCCCAUCAGACGGGGACAACGAUUGGAAACGACCGCUAAUACCGGAUAGGACGAAAGUUUAAAGGUGCUCCUGGCACCGCUGAUGGAUGAGCCUGCGGCGCAUUAGCUAGUUGGUAGGGUAAAGGCCUACCAAGGCGACGAUGCGUAGCCGACCUGAGAGGGUGAACGGCCACACUGGGACUGAGACACGGCCCAGACUCCUACGGGAGGCAGCAGUAGGGAAUCUUCGGCAAUGGGCGAAAGCCUGACCGAGCAACGCCGCGUGAAUGAUGAAGGCCUUCGGGUUGUAAAAUUCUGUUAUAAGGGAAGAACGACUUUAGUAGGAAAUGGCUAAAGUGUGACGGUACCUUAUGAGAAAGCCACGGCUAACUACGUGCCAGCAGCUGCGGUAAUACGUAGGGGGCGAGCGUUGUCCGGAAUUACUGGGCGUAAAGGGUGCGUAGGCGGCCCUUUAAGUCGGAUGUGAAAGCCCGCGGCUUAACCGCGGAAUGGCAUUCGAAACUGGAGGGCUUGAGUGUCGGAGAGGGUAGUGGAAUUCCCAGUGUAGCGGUGAAAUGCGUAGAUACUGGGAGGAACACCAGUGGCGAAGGCGACUACCUGGACGAUAACUGACGCUGAGGCACGAAAGCUAGGGGAGCAAACAGGAUUAGAUACCCUGGUAGUCCUAGCCGUAAACGAUGGGUACUAGGUGUGGGUGGUUUCGAUACCAUCCGUGCCGUAGUUAACGCAUUAAGUACCCCGCCUGGGGAGUACGUGCGCAAGCAUGAAACUCAAAUGAAUUGACGG
rnacentral:rRNA from 1 species